UACGUAGGCAGCGAGCGUUGUUCGGAGUUACUGGGCGUAAAGGGUGUGUAGGUGGCGCGCUAAGUCGGGUGUGAAAUUUCGGAGCUUAACUCCGAAACUGCAUUCGAUACUGGCGUGCUUGAGGACUGGAGAGGAGACUGGAAUUCAUGGUGUAGCAGUGAAAUGCGUAGAGAUCAUGAGGAAGACCAGUGGCGGAGGCGGGUCUCUGGACAGUUCCUGACACUGAGACACGAAGGCCAGGGGAGCAAACGGG
rnacentral:rRNA from 1 species